rnacentral:rRNA from 1 species
AGUGAACGCUGGCGGUAGGCCUAACACAUGCAAGUCGAACGGCAGCACAGUAAGAGCUUGCUCUUACGGGUGGCGAGUGGCGGACGGGUGAGGAAUACAUCGGAAUCUACUUUUUCGUGGGGGAUAACGUAGGGAAACUUACGCUAAUACCGCAUACGACCUACGGGUGAAAGCAGGGGAUCUUCGGACCUUGCGCGAUUGAAUGAGCCGAUGUCGGAUUAGCUAGUUGGCGGGGUAAAGGCCCACCAAGGCGACGAUCCGUAGCUGGUCUGAGAGGAUAAUCAGCCACACUGGAACUGAGACACGGUCCAGACUCCUACGGGAGGCAGCAGUGGGGAAUAUUGGACAAUGGGCGCAAGCCUGAUCCAGCCAUACCGCGUGGGUGAAGGAGGCCUUCGGGUUGUAAAGCCCUUUUGUUAGGAAAGAAAAGCAGCAGGUUAAUACCCCGCUGUUCUGACGGUACCCAAAGAAUAAGCACCGGCUAACUUCGUG